rnacentral:rRNA from 1 species
GCGCCUAACACAUGCAAGUCGAGCGGUAGAAUUAUUAUUGAGUCUUCGGAUGAUUUAAUAAUUUGAGAGCGGCGAACGGGUGAGUAACACGUUGGUAUCUGCCCCCAAGUCAGGGAUAGCCAUUGGAAACGAUGAUUAAUACCGGAUAGUCUCUUCGGAGUAAAGAUUUAUUGCUUGGGGAGGAACCUGCGUUCUAUCAGCUAGUUGGUGAGGUAAAAGCUCACCAAGGCUAUGACGGAUACCUGGUCUGAGAGGAUGAUCAGGCACAAUGGAACUGAGACACGGUCCAUACUCCUACGGGAGGCAGCAGUGAGGAAUCUUCCACAAUGGGCGAAAGCCUGAUGGAGCGACACCGCGUGAAGGAUGAAGGCCUAACGGUUGUAAACUUCUUUUCUGAAGGAGCAUAAUGAGAGUACUUCAGGAAUAAGGGACGGCUAAAUACGUGCCAGCAGCCGCGGUAAUACGUAUGUCUCGAGCGUUACCCGGAAUCACUGGGUGUAAAGGGUUUGUAGGCGGCUUGUUAAGUUGGAUAUGAAAGACCGGAGCUCAACUCCGAGUUUGUGGUUAAAACUGGCAAGCUAGAAUUAAGGAGAGGUAAGCGGAAUUCUAAGUGUAGGGGUGCAAUCCGUAGAUACUUAGAGGAACACCAAAAGCGAAGGCAGCUUACUGGAAUUGUAUUGACGCUGAGGAACGAAAGCGUGGGGAGCGAAAAGGAUUAGAUACCCUUGUAGUCCACGCCCUAAACGAUGAUAACUAAGUGUUGUGUUUUCGGAUGCAGUGCUGUAGCUAACGCGUUAAGUUAUCCACCUGAGGAGUACGGUCGCAAGAUUAAAACUCAAAGGAAUAGACGGGGACCCACACAAGCAGUGGAUCACGUGGUUUAAUUCGACAAUAAACGGGGAACCUUACCCAGACUUGACAUCUACCGAAUUCUUUAGAGAAUAGAGAAGUGCUUUUAUUAGAGCGGUAAGACAGGUGCUG